CUUUUAGAAGAACUAUUUCCUGUAUCUACAAUUAUUGAUUAGUUUAUCGGUCUACUUGAAUACACCAGUGGUUCAUCAUAAAAUACUAAUGCUCAUCGUUUGAUAUCAGUGUGGUGCAAAAACCUACAGCAUGACUAUCAUUCAUUUUUGUUUUAUUGCCAAUAUACUGGAGACACAUUUUAUUUUAGUAAAGUUAUUUAUUAGAGUAUCUAAG